GCAUGGCUUUGGAUUUAUGGUAGGUCCUACUCCAUGGACUUCUCAUAGUGUACUCCAUGCCACAGCAGCUUGUCUCCCUGAACCACUGGCUGGCCUGGCUUGCUGUAGCCCCAGCCACUGAAGUGGGUGAUACAUGC